rnacentral:rRNA from 1 species
UACGGGGGGGGCAAGCGUUGUUCGGAAUUAUUGGGCGUAAAGGGCUCGUAGGCGGUUUGUCGCGUCGGGAGUGAAAACACCGGGCUUAACUCGGUGCUUGCUUCCGAUACGGGCAGACUAGAGGCAUGCAGGGGAGAACGGAAUUCCUGGUGUAGCGGUGAAAUGCGCAGAUAUCAGGAGGAACACCGGUGGCGAAGGCGGUUCUCUGGGCAUGAUCUGACGCUGAGGAGCGAAAGUGUGGGGAGCGAACAGG